GACGAACGCUGGCGGCGUGCUUAACACAUGCAAGUCGAACGGAAAGGCCCUGCUUUUGUGGGGUGCUCGAGUGGCGAACGGGUGAGUAACACGUGAGUAACCUGCCCUUGACUUUGGGAUAACUUCAGGAAACUGGGGCUAAUACCGGAUAGGAGCUCCUGCUGCAUGGUGGGGGUUGGAAAGUUUCGGCGGUUGGGGAUGGACUCGCGGCUUAUCAGCUUGUUGGUGGGGUAGUGGCUUACCAAGGCUUUGACGGGUAGCCGGCCUGAGAGGGUGACCGGCCAAAUUGGGACUGAGAUACGGCACAGACUACUACGGGAGGCAGCAGUGGGGAAUAUUGCACAAUGGGCGGAAGCCUGAUGCAGCAACGCCGCGUGCGGGAUGACGGCCUUCGGGUUGUAAACCGCUUUCGCCUGUGACGAAGCGUGAGUGACGGUAAUGGGUAAAGAAGCACCGGCUAACUACGUG
rnacentral:rRNA from 1 species